rnacentral:tRNA from 15 species
GAUGAUCGGUGGUGUCGGCACCGGCUUCAAAACGGGAGCCGGUGGCA